rnacentral:rRNA from 1 species
GAUGAACGCUGGCGGCGUGCCUAAUACAUGCAAGUCGAGCGAACAGACGAGGAGCUUGCUCCUCUGACGUUAGCGGCGGACGGGUGAGUAACACGUGGAUAACUUACCUAUAAGACUGUGAUAACUUCGGGAAACCGGAGCUAAUACCGGAUAAUAUAUUGAACCGCAUGGUUCAAUAGUGAAAGACGGUUUUGCUGUCACUUAUAGAUGGAUCCGCGCCGCAUUAGCUAGUUGGUAAGGUAACGGCUUACCAAGGCAACGAUGCGUAGCCGACCUGAGAGGGUGAACGGCCACACUGGAACUGAGACACGGUCCAGACUCCUACGGGAGGCAGCAGUAGGGAAUCUUCCGCAAUGGGCGAAAGCCUGACGGAGCAACGCCGCGUGAGUGAUGAAGGUCUUCGGAUCGUAAAACUCUGUUAUUAGGGAAGAACAAAUGUGUAAGUAACUAUGCACGUCUUGACGGUACCUAAUCAGAAAGCCACGGCUAACUACGUG